UACGUAGGCAGCGAGCGUUGUUCGGAGUUACUGGGCGUAAAGGGUGUGUAGGCGGUUGUUUAAGUUUGGUGUGAAAUCUCCCGGCUCAACUGGGAGGGUGCGCCGAAUACUGAAUGACUUCGAGUGCGGGAGAGGAGAGUGGAAUUGCUGGUGUAGCGGUGAAAUGCGUAGAUAUCAGGAGGAACACCGGUGGUGUAGACGGCUCUCUGGACCGUAACUGACGCUGAGACACGAAAGCGUGGGUAGCAAACAGG
rnacentral:rRNA from 1 species